rnacentral:rRNA from 1 species
UACGGGGGGGGCAAGCGUUGUUCGGAAUUACUGGGCGUAAAGGGCUCGUAGGCGGCCAACUAAGUCAGACGUGAAAUCCCUCGGCUUAACCGGGGAACUGCGUCUGAUACUGGAUGGCUUGAGUUUGGGAGAGGGAUGCGGAAUUCCAGGUGUAGCGGUGAAAAUGCGUAGAUAUCUGGAGGAACACCGGUGGCGAAGGCGGCAUCCUGGACCAACACUGACGCUGAGUGAGCGAAAGCCAGGGGAGCAAACGGG